CUGUAUAGGCCAAUAUUGGGUCCUCAAUGGCACGAGGCAUUUGCUGGAUAUCCCAGAUAAGAGCUUGAUGGUCAUCCGCUGCAUAAGGUUAUCUGAAUCUGAAGUUCCAUCUCAGUAAGGAGCGAGGGAGCACUUACAGGCAUGUUGUGACCCAUCCGGGAGACAACUGAGCAUAUCUGCUUCCCCUCCCCCCAAGCCUCUGCGAGUGUCGUUCAGAUCUAUCCCAGGAAGCAAUAUCACAAGGCAGUCCGCAUCUCAGCCGCGCCCCUGGGAGCGCAGAACGAGGGCUACGCAAAAUGCCUUGGGUCCCUUUCCAGCCUAGAAACAAUGGCACUUUUUCCAGUUUAAUAAAACGAGCUGAAAAACAA